UACGUAGGUGGCAAGCGUUAUCCGGAAUUAUUGGGCGUAAAGAGCUCGUAGGCGGCAUGUCGCGUCUGCUGUGAAAGACCGGGGCUCAACUUCGGUUUUGCAGUGGAUACGGGCAUGCUAGAGGUAGGUAGGGGAGACUGGAAUUCCUGGUGUAGCGGUCGAAUGCGCAGAUAUCAGGAGGAACACCGGUGGCGAAGGCGGGUCUCUGGGCCUUACCUGACGCUGAGGAGCGAAAGCAUGGGUAGCGAACAGGAUUAGAUACU
rnacentral:rRNA from 1 species